GACGAACGCUGGCGGCGUGCUUAACACAUGCAAGUCGAACGAAGUGGCGAAAGGGCCAGGAAUAUAUAGCUAAUCUGCCCCUUGCUGGAGGACAACGGUUAGAAAUGACUCCUAAUACUCCAUAGCAAGGGAUGAGACUAUAUCGUAUCAGCUAGUCGGUGGGGUAACGGCCUACCGAGGCUAUGACGCGUAACUGGACUGAUAGGACGAGGAGUCAAAUCGGACCUGAGACAGCGUGCAGAAACAUACGAGAAUGAGCGGUAGGGAAUAGGACGAAAUGGGGGUAACUCAAGAGCGGCAACGCGGCGUGGAGUAUGAUACGUUUCGGAGAGUAAAGUCAGUUUGUUAGGGAAGCGGUACCUAACGAAUAAGCACCGGCUAACUCCGUGCCAGCAGCCGCGGUAAUAC
rnacentral:rRNA from 1 species